UACGUAGGGAGCAAGCGUUGUCCGGAAUCAUUGGGCGUAAAGCGCGCGUAGGUGGCCUCGUAAGUCCGCUGUGAAAGUCCAAGGCUCAACCUUGGAAAGCCGGUGGAUACUGUGAGGCUAGAGUACGGAAGAGGCGAGUGGAAUUCCUGGUGUAGCGGUGGAAUGCGCAGAUAUCAGGAGGAACACCGAUGGCGAAGGCAGCUCGCUGGGACGGUACUGACGCUGAGGCGCGAAAGCGUGGGGAGCGAACAGG
rnacentral:rRNA from 1 species